GGCCAGACUCCUACGGGAGGCAGCAGUGGGGAAUAUUGCACAAUGGGGGAAACCCUGAUGCAGCGACGCCGCGUGAGCGAUGAAGUAUUUCGGUAUGUAAAGCUCUAUCAGCAGGGAAGAAGAUGACGGUACCUGACUAAGAAGCCCCGGCUAACUACGUGCCAGCAGCCGCGGUAAUACGUAGGGGGCAAGCGUUAUCCGGAUUUACUGGGUGUAAAGGGAGCGUAGACGGCGAUGCAAGCCAGAUGUGAAAGCCCGGGGCUCAACCCCGGGACUGCAUUUGGAACUGUGUGGCUGGAGUGUCGGAGAGGCAGGCGGAAUUCCUAGUGUAGCGGUGAAAUGCGUAGAUAUCAGGAGGAACACCGGUGGCGAAGGCGGCUUACUGGACAGUGACUGACGUUGAGGCUCGAAAGCGUGGGGAGCGAACAGGAUUAGAUACCCGCGUAC
rnacentral:rRNA from 1 species